rnacentral:rRNA from 1 species
UACGUAGGGGGCAAGCGUUGUCCGGAAUCAUUGGGCGUAAAGCGCGUGUAGGCGGCCCGGUAAGUCCGCUGUGAAAGUCCAGGGCUCAACCCUGGAAUGCCGGUGGAUACUGUCGGGCUCGAGUCCGGAAGAGGCGAGUGGAAUUCCUGGUGUAGCGGUGAAAUGCGCAGAUAUCAGGAGGAACACCGAUGGCGAAGGCAGCUCGCUGGGACGGUACUGACGCUAAGGCGCGAAAGCGUGGGGAGCGAACAGG